GUAGGCGUAGCUCAGUCGGUAGAGCACCGGACUUCGUGAGCCGGUAUGUCGUGGGUCCGAGCCCCACCGCCUAUGCCA
rnacentral:tRNA from 1 species